CACGUAGGGCGCGAGCGUUGUCCGGAAUUAUUGGGCGUAAAGAGCUCGUAGGCGGCCUGUUGCGUCCGCUGUGAAAGCCCGGGGCUUAACCCCGGGUCGGCAGUGGAUACGGGCUGGCUAGAGGCAGGCAGGGGAGAACGGAAUUCCCGGUGUAGCGGUGAAAUGCGCAGAUAUCGGGAGGAACACCGGUGGCGAAGGCGGUUCUCUGGGCCUGUACUGACGCUGAGGAGCGAAAGCGUGGGGAGCGAACAGG
rnacentral:rRNA from 1 species